rnacentral:rRNA from 1 species
GACGAACGCUGGCGGCGUGCUUAACACAUGCAAGUCGAACGGAAAGGCCCUGCUUUUGUGGGGUGCUCGAGUGGCGAACGGGUGAGUAACACGUGAGUAACCUGCCCUUGACUUUGGGAUAACUUCAGGAAACUGGGGCUAAUACCGGAUAGGAGCUCCUGCUGCAUGGUGGGGGUUGGAAAGUUUCGGCGGUUGGGGAUGGACUCGCGGCUUAUCAGCUUGUUGGUGGGGUAGUGGCUUACCAAGGCUUUGACGGGUAGCCGGCCUGAGAGGGUGACCGGCCACAUUGGGACUGAGAUACGGCCCAGACUCCUACGGGAGGCAGCAGUGGGGAAUAUUGCACAAUGGGCGGAAGCCUGAUGCAGCAACGCCGCGUGCGGGAUGACGGCCUUCGGGUUGUAAACCGCUUUCGCCUGUGACGAAGCGUGAGUGACGGUAAUGGGUAAAGAAGCACCGGCUAACUACGUGCCAGCAGCCGCGGUGAUACGUAGGGUGCGAGCGUUGUCCGGAUUUAUUGGGCGUAAAGGGCUCGUAGGUGGUUGAUCGCGUCGGAAGUGUAAUCUUGGGGCUUAACCCUGAGCGUGCCUUCGAUACGGGUUGACUUGAGGAAGGUAGGGGAGAAUGGAAUUCCUGGUGGAGCGGUGGAAUGCGCAGAUAUCAGGAGGAACACCAGUGGCGAAGGCGGUUCUCUGGGCCUUUCCUGACGCUGAGGAGCGAAAGCGUGGGGAGCGAACAGGCUUAGAUACCCUGGUAGUCCACGCUGUAAACGGUGGGUACUAGGUGUGGGGUCCAUUCCACGGGUUCCGUGCCGUAGCUAACGCUUUAAGUACCCCGCCUGGGGAGUACGGCCGCAAGGCUAAAACUCAAAGGAAUUGACGGGGCCCCGCACAAGCGGCGGAGCAUGCGGAUUAAUUCGAUGCAACGCGUAGAACCUUACCAGGGUUUGACAUGGAUCGGGAGUGCUCAGAGAUGGGUGUGCCUCUUUUGGGGUCGGUUCACAGGUGGUGCACGCCUGUCGUCAGCUCGUGUCGUGAGAUGUUGGGUUAAGUCCCGCAACGAGCGCAACCCUUGUUCACUGUUGCCAGCACGUUAUGGUGGGGACUCAGUGGAGACCGCCGGGGUCAACUCGGAGGAAGGUGGGGAUGACGUCAAGUCCUCAUGCCCCUUAUGUCCAGGGCUUCACGCAUGCUACAAUGGCUGGUACAGAGAGUGGCGAGCCUGUGAGGGUGAGCGAAUCUCGGAAAGCCGGUCUCAGUUCGGAUUGGGGUCUGCAACUCGACCUCAUGAAGUCGGAGUCGCUAGUAAUCGCAGAUCAGCAACGCUGCGGUGAAUACGUUCCCGGGGC